AGCGAACGCUGGCGGCAGGCCUAACACAUGCAAGUCGAACGAACCCUUCGGGGUUAGUGGCGGACGGGUGAGUAACACGAGGGAACGUGCCUUUAGGUGCGGAAUAACUCAGGGAAACUAGUGCUAAUACCGAAUGUGCCCUUCGGGGGAAAGAUUUAUCGCCUUUAGAGCGGCCCGCGUCUGAUUAGCUAGUUGGUGAGGUAAUGGCUCACCAAGGCUACGAUCCGUAGCUGGUCUGAGGUGAUGACCAGCCACAAUGGGACGGAGACACGGCCCAAACUCCUACGGGAGGCAGCAGUGGGUAAUCUAGCGCAAUGGGCGAAAGCCUGACGCAGCCAUGCCGCGUGGAUGAUGAAGGUCUUAGGAUUGUAAAAUCCUUUCACCGGUGAAGAUAAUGACUGUAGCCGGAGAAGAAGCCCCGGCUAACUUCGUGCCAGCCGCCGCGGUAAAAC
rnacentral:rRNA from 1 species